rnacentral:rRNA from 1 species
UACGAAGGGUGCAAGCGUUACUCGGAAUUAUUGGGCGUAAAGGGCGCGUAGGCGGCCCGGUAAGUCAAAGGUGAAAUCCCUCGGCUCAACUGAGGAACUGCCUUUGAAACUGUCGGGCUUGAGGCCGGGAGGGGGUAGCGGAAUUCCCAGUGUAGCGGUGAAAUGCGUAGAUAUUGGGAGGAACACCGGUGGCGAAGGCGGCUACCUGGACCGGUUCUGACGCUCAGGUGCGAAAGCGUGGGGAGCAAACAGG